AUACACACAAAUCUGCAGCUAUAUUCAUAGAUUUUAGAGCAAUUUCCUCAGCAGUGAGAUUAUUCUCAUAAGACAUUAAAGCACGAGCUGCAGAAAGUGCAAAUAAACCGCC
rnacentral:sRNA from 1 species